ACCAAGCUAGCUGACGCGCUCAC
rnacentral:siRNA from 1 species